ACAACUACUCACGUUACUGUAAUUGAGUAGUUUUUUCGGGUACUUGUACUUUUUUGAGUAUAUUUUUAAAGCUGUACUUUUACUUGUACUUAAGUACAAAUUAAGCAAAAUAAUCUACUUCAUUACUUUUAAAAUCAUAGUUCGUUACUGAGUACGCCCACAAUUUGAAUUGAUAUUCAAACCUUUCACGAAACUUCAGUAGCCAAUAAAGAUAUCCGAUCGUAAACGGACCAAUAAAAGCCCUGAUAACUGAACCGAUUCCCGGGAAAAGCCGCCGCUGCAGCAGGUGAAGAGCAGCUGAGUGGACAGUGAGGGAGCACAGCGUGAUUUAUGGACUCAAAGUUUGGAGAAACAAACUACAUGUAUCUACCGUAUAUACACCGAUACACAUCCUCUCAGACAGCGAGUUUGACAGCAUCAGCCUCCUGUCAGUUACAGAGUCUGAAUAUCCGCGCGGGAUUGCAGAGUCCGUCCAGGAUUUGCUCUAAAAAUCUCUGCAGUCUAGCGACAUGAGCUGAAGAGACAACAGACAGUCAUAUGAAGGAAUAGACUGUGCCACUGCUGUGAAAAAAUAUAAGCAAAGUCUCUUCAUA